rnacentral:rRNA from 1 species
GGGAAAGCGUGGGGGGAGGAGUAGAUAGGGAGCAAUUGUGUCGACGCGGAGGCAGGAGGAAAGGAGCAGUGGUGUCGUUUAGUAGAGGGUACCGCCGCUAGCCCUGCUCCGUCCGCGCCGCCGACGCCCGCCUUCGUCGUUCCCAACUUCCUUCGCGCCCCUCCCUGCCUACACCCGCCCCAGCCGCCAACUCCCGCUCGCGGCCUGUCCGUCUCCCUCGCGGAACCAGCUCCCUUUCGCUCCGAGCAGCCGACCCGUUGUUGCUCGCGACCUGUACAUCUCCUCCGCCACUCUUCCCCUACGGUACCCCCCGAGCCGAAGUGGAGAGGGUAGGAAAGAGAAGCCUGCGUGGGUUGGAGACGGUGUUUAGAGAGAGAGAGAGAGCCAACCCCUGUUCCCAACUGCAGUCGAGUACGACGGCAGGAGCACGGAGCCACACAGCACACACCGCGGCCCGGAGGGGUGCGGUCGGUCGUGAGGAGGUGGUUAGGGACGGGGACUCUAGGCGACGGCGGUGGUGACCGAGGAGCGACAUCACGGUCGUCGCCGUGUGGCGCUGCCGCCAUUGAGAGCUCUUCCCGCUCCGCCGCCUACCCCGGCCCUGUCACCGCCCCAAGUGACAGCACUACUUCAAGCCGCCCAGCAGCGACAGCAGCCGGCGUGCCUAGGCCCUACACCGGCUGGAGUAGGAGUCGAAGGGGCUCCUCCGCGGGUAGUAGUAGGAGAGGCGGUACCCCUUCCGGUGGUUAGCUACUCGAGCGACAGUAGUUCCUCGAAGUAGAAUGCACACACGAUAAAUUUAAACAGUAUGGAACAACGAGCUUACGACCAAACCUCACACGUUUAGGACUAAGGACUUGGUAAGCAACCACACAGACGAGUCCUAGUAAUCACUCGGUUCUAACCUGUCGAGAUAACAAAGUCGUGCGGCGGCGGAAGGAGGCUGCGCAGACGUAGCAGAGGCCGCGGCUGCGGCGGCAGUGGUUCUUGAUGCUGGAGCAGUAGCAGUGCCGGCCCCGAUCCGUCUAGGGCCCACUCUUGUCCGAGUUGGACGACGUCUGCUUGCAAGGGGAUAUAGCGUUCUAGCACGGCAGACACCGGCUCGUGAGGGACCUCCGCGAAGAAGAGCAUCAGAGGUGGGCAGCUGCACGAGUGGAUGCAGCGGACCUCUGAGAGGUCGAAGAGCCGGUCGGCGCAGUAGCCGACGCCGUGGUUGGAGCUGAGGAUGGCGAAGUCCAAGGAAUAGCGGUUUCGUGGAGCUGCAGUUGGUCGUCCUGCACGUCCUACUAUUGUCCAUAUCCGCCCCCACGGGUAAACUUAGAGUUCGCACAUCUCUUUCGUCCCCAUGAAACAAGUCUUCUAAGGUUGAUACUAACUGUUGAACUAUCUGUUCUGUAAACGGACCCUCCUACUUUCGUUAUGUGGUAAAGAUAUACUGCGUUAUUCAGUGACUUGAUCGAGUGGUACUAAUGGUCUUUAGUUCGUGUGAUCUAGGUUACGUAACUUAAAAGUACGUUUCCAAGUAUACCAACGGUAAAACCUUCUCGUUUUUGAAUCCUCUCAUGUCUUUCUCCUUCUAUUCUCUGCUAUGGCCCAUAUUUAAGGUGUAGGAGUUCGUGAUGUGAGUGUUGUCUUCAUAGUCAGAACAAGUGACUGAGAAUGGUUUCCUGGUCUUCUUAGACGUGUUAGAUAACGCAUUUCUCUUACUCUACUAGAAACCCAGGUUCAGACAAGGUUCCUUCUGUUCGUCAAAAUUGUCCUCCUGGUCACCGGUAUUAGUACUGAAGCUACGGGGUGGCCCACAACCGACUGUCACGGUGUGGGCUUGAAAACUGUGGUGCGAGCAUGAGACCUGCCAUGUUGUUAAUGAAGUUCCUCUUUGCCUCCUACUUCCGCCGGGGUAAGUUGAAGAGCCACCGAAGGUUCCUACUGUUGUACAAUAGGAAACGGAGGUAAUCCCUCGGACCAAGAGGAAACCAAAACGUGACCCAUACUAUAACGGGUUGUAAAACAGUAGGAGACAAAGAAAACAGUUGCAUAAAAAGACUAAAAGACGUUUUCUUGUAUAAAAAGACAAUAAGUUGGUAUUCUGACGCCACCCCACCGCCCGACGUGGAUACGGGUACAACAGUGACUGUUAGGUGAACCAGCAGCGACUGACCCAUCAACGGCGUGCCCUUGAUGCACAAUCUAAUGGUGACGCACGGCAUACUACGAGAUGAAAACUUUGGACAGUAGUCAAGGAAAACUUA